rnacentral:lncRNA from 1 species
UGAGGUUGAGAAGUAGAGCGACGUGUAAAGCUUUGCCUCCUUUUUGCUGUUGUCCCCCAUGCUAUACUGUAGGCUUGAAACCCCACAAUCAGCACCCCUUUCUUCUGUUUCUAGCAUGUAGCAGCAGACUAUUUCUUAUUCCCCCCCUUUGUACAAUUAUAAGUGGUAGACCCCCUUGUACAAUUAUAACUGGUAGAUUAGCUCAUGAAUUUCUUGGGUUUUGACCCGGUCUCGAAAUAAACCUGUUGAUGGUUUUAAUUAUAUAUGAUCGGUUACUUUCAG